rnacentral:rRNA from 1 species
UUCCCCUAGUAACUGCGAGUGAAGAGGGAAAAGCUCAAAUUUAAAAUCUGGCAGCUUCGCUGUCCGAGUUGUAAAUUAGAGAAGUGUUACCCGUGUUGGACCGUGUACAAGUCUCCUGGAACGGAGCGUCAUAGAGGGUGAGAAUCCCGUCUUUGACACGGACUACCAAUGCAUUGUGGUACACUCUCAAAGAGUCGUGUUGUUUGGGAAUGCAGCACUAAAUGGGUGGUAAAUUCCAUCUAAAGCUAAAUAUUGGCGAGAGACCGAUAGCGAACAAGUACCGUGAGGGAAAGAUGAAAAGAACUUUGGAAAGAGAGUUAAACAGUACGUGAAAUUGUUGAAAGGGAAACGCUUAAAGUCCAGUCGCGUUGGGUGGAAAUCAGUCUCGCUCUUUUGCUUGAUGUACUUUCUACUUGAUGGGUCAACAUCAGUUUUGACCGUUGGAUAAAGGUUGGGGGAAUGUGGCACCUUCGGGUGUGUUAUAGCCCUUGAUUGUAUACAACGGUUGGGACUGAGGCAUCACGCCGCAAGGCGCUUGGAUGUUGACAUAAUGGCUUUAAUCGACCCGUCUUGAAACACGGACCAAGGAGUCUAACAUGCUUGCGAGUAUUUGGGUGGUAAACUCAUAUGCGCAAUGAAAGUGAAAGUUGAGAACUCGUUAGAGUGCAUCGACGCCCAUACCAGAUGUUUUACUGACGGCUAUGCGGUAGAGCAAGUAUGUUGGGACCCGAAAGAUGGUGAACUAUGCCUGAAUAGGGUGAAGCCAGAGGAAACUCUGGUGGAGGCUCGUAGCGAUUCUGACGUGCAAAUCGAUCGUCAAAUUUGGGUAUAGGGGCG